rnacentral:misc_RNA from 1 species
ACAACACAUAAACAAUCGAAUGGACACAUUACAGCCAACAAUUACAACCAACAAUUACAAUGUAGCGUCUAUUUUGUACGAUUCAUCUUUGUAGAAAGAGGGCAGCUCCAACUAAGCCCAUCCAUAAUGUUAAAGCUAACCAAAACGUUCGGUUUUUCUCAAGUCCAGUUGGAGGCCGCCACACCAGAAAGUCCCCUAAAUAGUCCCUUGAUGAUGGAAGUUGAUUGGUUGUUGAUCCACUUCUCCUUUGAUCCUUGUCCUUGCGUUUGCCACUCCAUGUUGCUGCGUAGCUGUCAUAACUCGAACCAAUCAGCGGAAUGGUAACCAUCUCUUCCUGGGAUAUCUUGAGCUUAGGUGCUUGCAAAAUGUAGCGAAGAUCCGCAGCUUGGCGUCGGAUACUGACACUAGGGUGCUGCUUUUCUAAUUGCUGAUAGAGAGCAAUGCAAUCUGCAUGGCGGUUAUUAGCCUCAUAAGCCAUGGCUAGCCAUAUUUGAAUCUCACCACCAAAAAAAGUGGACCUUGGAAUGAUUGUGAGUGCGGCUUCAAGAAACUCAAUGGCCCGUGAAUACAUGCCCUUUCCAUAAGCCUUUUGCCCCAAUUCAAACAUCAACUGAGCUGUUGCUCUCCUUUCUGCCUGCUCCUGAGCCACCUUUUCAAGCUCUUUUCUCACUCUCAUCUUCUUCUCUUCUUCAGUCUCCUCUCGAUCCUCACUUUCACUGUCCUCCGCUUUGCUUUGCAACUCUUCCGCCUUCUUCUCUAACUCCCUCAUCUCCUCAAUCUCCUUUACUCUCUUCCUCAUCUCCUUCUCCCAAUCAUACUCCUCUUCUCCCUCUCCGUUCCCAUUCCCGUUCUCUUCAUCGCUAUCGAAAUCCACGCCGUUCACUUUGGAAUUCGCUUUUGCUCUCGCCACUACUCUUUGACUCCUCGCUUCGCCAUCUGAUUCGAAGCUCUUGCCGGCCAGAGAAGCAGCAUAGGUAUAAGGAUCCCUCUUCGGAAGGUUCAAAACAACGUCUAUAGCUACCGGGCGGGUUUUCCGGUCCGGAAUUACGGGUCGAGGCGAAACCACUUCUAGUAAUAAAGCUAAAUUUCCAAGAACCAUAGCCAUGGUGGCACCGCCGGAGAUGAUAGGAAGAGAGAGGAGAAGUGAG